AAGUUGCAGGGUAUAGACCCGAAACCCGGUGAUCUAGCCAUGGGCAGGUUGAAGGUUGGGUAACACUAACUGGAGGACCGAACCGACUAAUGUUGAAAAAUUAGCGGAUGACUUGUGGCUGGGGGUGAAAGGCCAAUCAAACCGGGAGAUAGCUGGUUCUCCCCGAAAGCUAUUUAGGUAGCGCCUCGUGAAUUCAUCUCCGGGGGUAGAGCACUGUUUCGGCAAGGGGGUCAUCCCGACUUACCAACCCGAUGCAAACUGCGAAUACCGGAGAAUGUUAUCACGGGAGACACACGGCGGGUGCUAACGUCCGUCGUGAAGAGGGAAACAACCCAGACCGCCAGCUAAGGUCCCAAAGUCAUGGUUAAGUGGGAAACGAUGUGGGAAGGCCCAGACAGCCAGGAUGUUGGCUUAGAAGCAGCCAUCAUUUAAAGAAAGCGUAAUAGCUCACUGGUCGAGUCGGCCUGCGCGGAAGAUGUAACGGGGCUAAACCAUGCACCGAAGCUGCGGCAGCGACACUGUGUGUUGUUGGGUAGGGGAGCGUUCUGUAAGCCUGUGAAGGUGUGCUGUGAGGCAUGCUGGAGGUAUCAGAAGUGCGAAUGCUGACAUAAGUAACGAUAAAGCGGGUGAAAAGCCCGCUCGCCGGAAGACCAAGGGUUCCUGUCCAACGUUAAUCGGGGCAGGGUGAGUCGACCCCUAAGGCGAGGCCGAAAGGCGUAGUCGAUGGGAAACAGGUUAAUAUUCCUGUACUUGGUGUUACUGCGAAGGGGGGACGGAGAAGGCUAUGUUGGCCGGGCGACGGUUGUCCCGGUUUAAGCGUGUAGGCUGGUUUUCCAGGCAAAUCCGGAAAAUCAAGGCUGAGGCGUGAUGACGAGGCACUACGGUGCUGAAGCAACAAAUGCCCUGCUUCCAGGAAAAGCCUCUAAGCAUCAGGUAACAUCAAAUCGUACCCCAAACCGACACAGGUGGUCAGGUAGAGAAUACCAAGGCGCUUGAGAGAACUCGGGUGAAGGAACUAGGCAAAAUGGUGCCGUAACUUCGGGAGAAGGCACGCUGAUAUGUAGGUGAAGUCCCUCGCGGAUGGAGCUGAAAUCAGUCGAAGAUACCAGCUGGCUGCAACUGUUUAUUAAAAACACAGCACUGUGCAAACACGAAAGUGGACGUAUACGGUGUGACGCCUGCCCGGUGCCGGAAGGUUAAUUGAUGGGGUCAGCGCAAGCGAAGCUCUUGAUCGAAGCCCCGGUAAACGGCGGCCGUAACUAUAACGGUCCUAAGGUAGCGAAAUUCCUUGUCGGGUAAGUUCCGACCUGCACGAAUGGCGUAAUGAUGGCCAGGCUGUCUCCACCCGAGACUCAGUGAAAUUGAACUCGCUGUGAAGAUGCAGUGUACCCGCGGCAAGACGGAAAGACCCCGUGAACCUUUACUAUAGCUUGACACUGAACAUUGAGCCUUGAUGUGUAGGAUAGGUGGGAGGCUUUGAAGUGUGGACGCCAGUCUGCAUGGAGCCGACCUUGAAAUACCACCCUUU
rnacentral:rRNA from 1 species